AAGUCGUAACAAGGUAACCGUAGGUGAACCUGCGGUUGGAUCAUUAAAAAAUUUGAAGGCGCUCCUACACAUAAUCCUUUGGAUUUACUGUAGUUGAACGUUCUUCUGUCUGAAAAGUCAACACUUUGUGCACUAGAAAUGUUUUUGGGAGUUUAUGACUCCCAGCAUUAUAAACCAAUUUUUAUAUAUUAGUCUAAUAGUUUUUCAUAUAAUGAAAUAUAUAAAAACAACUUUUGACAACGGAUCUCUUGGCUCUC
rnacentral:misc_RNA from 1 species